GAAUGAUGGCGCUGAAGCGGCAGAGCCACAUGUUUCUGGGAAGAUCGGAGCGAAGAAACAAAGGAAGUUAGAGGAGAAGCAGGCCAGGAAAGCUCAGCGAGAGGCCGAGGAAGCCGAACGCGAGGAGCGAAAGAAGGUGGAGCAGAAACGGGAGGAGGAGCGGCGAAAGGAGGAGGAGCGUCUGCGCCAGGAGGAGGAGCGGAAGGAGGAAGAGGAGAAGAAGGCUAAAGAGGAGCAGGAGCAGCGGGAGCACGAGGAAUACCUCAAGCUGAAGGAGAGCUUUGUCGUGGAAGAAGAAGGGGUGGACGAAGCCAUGUCAGAG